rnacentral:rRNA from 1 species
UACGAAGGGGGCUAGCGUUGUUCGGAAUUACUGGGCGUAAAGCGCACGUAGGCGGAUCGAUCAGUCAGGGGUGAAAUCCCAGGGCUCAACCCUGGAACUGCCUUUGAUACUGAUAGUCUCGAGUCCGGAAGAGGUGAGUGGAAUUCCGAGUGUAGAGGUGAAAUUCGUAGAUAUUCGGAGGAACACCAGUGGCGAAGGCGGCUCACUGGUCCGGUACUGACGCUGAGGUGCGAAAGCGUGGGGAGCAAACAGG